CCGCAGAACAUCAAUUUGCAAAGUACCCAGCUAGCACAAUAGCAGCAUCGAGUAUAGCCGCUUCAAUGAGUGGGCUAAAAUGUCAUCUUCGCACAGGCCAUAAUCUUCCCUUUUUAUUAGGUCUACUUACGGACUUAACCAGCAUCGAACAAGUUCAACUGCAAGAGUGUAUGUUGCAUAUGGAGAACAUUUUUGAAGAGCACAGUCGCAACCUGCAGCCGUUUUUUGUUGACAUUCAACCUCCUAACUCUGCAAAAAUGUACUGCCAGAGACGUAAUCAGACUCAUCCAAACCAGCAAUAUCAUCAGCAGCGCCCGCAACGCAUGAGGCAAAUGCCAAUACCCUCCCUAACAUUUACUACUGCUGACACCAACGCUGAUCAAAAUUGCUUUAAGGCUACCCUACCCUAUCGGACGCAAACAUUUAAGAUUCUAGGGCAGGCUAAAAAUGAGUUACAAGACAUACAAUUUUGAGAAAAGUAUUUUUUGAGCUAGUAUAUUAAAUAUUAGUAUUUAAAUAUAUAUUAGUUUCCUCCAAGUCUUUGUAAAUUAAAUUACACAUAAAAAAGAAGAAUACAUAAUAAUUAA